rnacentral:rRNA from 1 species
UUCCGGUUGAUCCCGCCGGAGGCCACUGCUAUUGGGAUCCGACUAAGCCAUGCGAGUCGAGAGGGUUCGGCCCUCGGCAGACUGCUCGGUAACACGUAGAUAACCUAACCUUAGGUGGAAGAUAACCUCGGGAAACUGAGAAUAAUAUUCCAUAGAUCUAGGAUGCUGGAAUGCAUCUAGAUUGAAAGUUCCGACGCCUAAGGAUGGGUCUGCGGACUAUCAGGUUGUAGUCAGGGUAAAGACCCGACUAGCCUACGACGGAUAUGGGUUGUGAGAGCAAUAGCCCAGAGACGAUAUCUGAGACACGAUAUCGGGCCCUACGGGGCGCAGCAGGCGCGAAAUCUUCACAAUGUGCGAAAGCACGAUGAGGGGAUCCCAAGUGCUGGCACGUAAGUGUCAGCUGUUUCUUAGUCUAAAAAACUGAGAGAGUAAGGGCUGGGCAAGACGGGUGCCAGCCGCCGCGGUAAUACCUGCAGCUCAAGUGGUGGCCGCUAUUAUUGGGCCUAAAACGUCCGUAGCCUGUUUAGUAAAUGCUUGGGUAAAUUGUGUAGCUUAACUAUACGAAUACCGGGUAGACUGCUAAACUUGGGACCGGGAGAGGCUAGAGGUACUCCUGGGGUAGAGGUGAAAUUCUGUAAUCCUAGGGGGACCACCAGUGGCGAAGGCGUCUAGCUAGAACGGGUCUGACGGUGAGGGACGAAGCCCUGGGGCGCAAACCGGAUUAGAUACCCGGGUAGUCCAGGGUGUAAACGCUGCUUGCUUGAUGUUAGUUGGGCUCCGAGCCCAACUAGUGUCGGAGAGAAGUUGUUAAGCAAGCUGCCUGGGAAGUACGGUCGCAAGACUGAAACUUAAAGGAAUUGGCGGGGGAGCACAGCAACGGGUGGAGCGUGCGGUUUAAUUGGAGUCAACGCCCGGAAAUCACUAGUGCGGCCGCCUGCAGGUCGACCAUA